rnacentral:lncRNA from 1 species
GGUGGAAGAGUUAUAUUUGGUCCUGUAGACAUAUCGGACAACUCUUCGAAUACUGAUGGGAGCAUCAUCAUUCAACCUGGCUUAUGGGACAGAGAUGAUGAUUUCACUUGAGAUCGAAUUACCAUCAGCAAGAGUAGAACAAUAUAAUGAGCCGAAUAAUUCAGAAUGUCAGAAAUUCAAUUUAGAUUUACUUCUGAAAGUUCAAU